GUGGGGAAUUUUGGACAAUGGGGGAAACCCUGAUCCAGCCAUGCCGCGUGAGUGAUGAAGGCCUUAGGGUUGUAAAGCUCUUUCACCGAUGAAGAUAAUGACGGUAGUCGGAGAAGAAGCCCCGGCUAACUUCGUGCCAGCAGCCGCGGUAAUACGAAGGGGGCUAGCGUUGUUCGGAAUUACUGGGCGUAAAGCGCACGUAGGCGGAUAUUUAAGUCAGGGGUGAAAUCCCAGAGCUCAACUCUGGAACUGCCUUUGAUACUGGGUAUCUCGAGUAUGGAAGAGGUGAGUGGAAUUCCGAGUGUAGAGGUGAAAUUCGUAGAUAUUCGGAGGAACACCAGUGGCGAAGGCGGCUCACUGGUCCAUUACUGACGCUGAGGUGCGAAAGCGUGGGGAGCAAACAGGAUUAGAUACCCUUGUAGUCC
rnacentral:rRNA from 1 species